GAAACAGUGAAUAAAUAUUAGCUGUUAUUAUUUCAUGUUUCUGAAAAGUUGUGUAAAGAUAAUGGUUUUAUGUAAAAUUUUAUCUAUGAUGCCACAAAAGAAUUUAUUGAAAAGAAAUGCUUGGUGAGCUCCAUUGUGAAGUAAACAAUUACUGUGAAAUGUGCUGCUUUUUAAGGUCUGCAUUUUGGAUAGAAUGGGUUUAAAGUGAGGCUGUUCUUAGAAACAUUUAAAUCCCAUAAGGUUUGAAAGACCUUUCUUUUCACUGGUUCUCAGUAUGACUUGGCACAAAGAGAGUUACUUCAGAAGAGCCCUGGAGAAGUUCUCCAACUUGUCCGAGGUUGCCCAGCUAGGUGGCGUCAGGCUCAUCUGGGAAACAAGGACAAGUAACUCAGCAGCAUCCCUGAUGGAAUUCCUCCCCUGGACUACAAGCUUCUUGAGAGCUAGAACUGCAUCUUCCUCACCUUUGUGUCUCCCAUCUUCCAACCAAUAUCUGGCACACAGUAGGUCUUCCCUAAGAGUUUGGUGGAUUAAUAGAGAUCACCUCCUGCCCACCCACAGGAGACCACUGAUGAAAUUCUAGUGAUAAUUAGAUAACAAUUAUAUGAUUUCCACUUUGGAAGAAUCUUUUUCCUAAAGUCACACGCAUUUUAUUUGUAAAGUGCUUUUUCAGCUAUUUCCAG
rnacentral:lncRNA from 1 species